rnacentral:rRNA from 1 species
AGGGAUGACUGCCUUCGGGUCGUAAACCUCUUUCAGCAGGGACGAAGCGAAAGUGACGGUACCUGCAGAAGAAGCACCGGCCAACUACGUGC